rnacentral:rRNA from 1 species
AUACGGAGGAUGCAAGCGUUAUCCGGAUUCAUUGGGUUUAAAGGGUGCGUAGGCGGCUUUUUUAAGUCAGUGGUGAAAUCCUGCCGCUUAACGGUAGAAUUGCCAUUGAUACUGAAGAGCUUGAGUACAAUUGAGGUAAGCGGAAUGUGUAGUGCAGCGGUGAAAUGCUUAGAUAUUACACAGAACACCAAUUGCGAAGGCAGCUUACUAAACUGUUACUGACGCUCAUGCACGAAGGCGUGGGGAUC